GAGACCUGGCUAAGAAUUUUUAAAGAUUUUUUUCUUUCCUUUCUUCUUUUUUCUCUUUUCUUUCUUUCUUGUAAUUUCUUUUUCCUUUUCUUUUUCUUCCCUUUCUUUUUUUAAACAAAUGCAACUAUGCUUAAAUAGGAAAAGAACAUCUUCAAAGCGAGGGGGGCACUAAUGGAGGGGGACAGCUUAAAGCCAAGGUUUAAGUGAAAGACCAGAGGCGUAGAAUAGAGGCCACUUUAAAUUGCAAAUCUGAGAAUUUUGAACGGAGGAAAAUGACCUCCCCCCAAAUCACGAACGAUUGAAGAACAAUAUUGAGAAAACUUUAACACGUACCAUAGACUAGGCAAAAAAAAAAAAAAUAAUGUGUUAAUUUUGUCUUCUGAAAUCAGAUGCAAUCAAUCAUCUCUGGUUCUUUAGAAGGAGAGGGGAAGAGGGGAGCAAUGACUAGAAGAAAUAAAGGGGGAAACUGAAUCAGAACUGAAAGAGCAACUUUAGGAGAGACAAGAAAAGGAAAAGUUGCAUUUGGAAACAAGUCCAACUUUCUACCUUUUUGGACUUAAGAGAAAAAGUAAAAUCAGUUUUCUCGUGUAAAACCUGGAAAGCAGAUGUUUUCAAAACACAGGAAGCUGCUUUGCCAUCAAAAGCAGGGAUGUAAUAAAGGCAGUGAAAAAUAAUUUCACACUGAAUUCGUAAGAAAGAAAUCCAAUAUAUUUAAAUAGCGAGGAAAGAUCUAGAGUGUAGAAAGGGGGGGAGAUUACAUACCCCUUCCCUAAUGCCAAAAAAAAAAAAAAAAGUCUUAACAGCUACCUCCAAGAGUUUGGAGCAGUCUCGAAGCCAAAGGGCUUGAAAUGAGAGGAUGGAUUUCAGAUAAAGACUGGGAGCAGUACAUCCCACCAGAGCCCAAAGGAGAUCCCUGGAAUCAAAGACAGCAGCCAGGGACCCUGCUACUGUAAGGGUACCCAGUACAUCAAAGCCAGCACUUAGGCUGGUGCAAGGUACCUCCAAAAAUCAAGCAAACAAUCGCAGGAAGAACAAGUCUCUCUCUCUCUCUUUCUCUCUCUCUCUCUCUCUCUCUCUCUCUCUCUCUCUCUCUCUCUCUCCUAGCCUCAGCAUCACUGCUACUGAAUAGAUUUUUUAAUGACAAGUAUGUAUUUAUAUAAGUUAUAAGUAUGAGCUGCUACCAUUGAAAUUGCAAUGUCUGAAAUAAAACGCAAUCUGUACUUUAACUGAUCUGCAAACAAAUUUAAAACUUGUUUUUCAAGGCAUUAUUAGUAAACCCUGUAACAUCAAGAAGAGACAGAGCGCUAAAACUUAUUUUUUCUAAAAAAAAAAAAAUUCUUGCCCCAGCCAACCAAGAUUAUUUAUCAGAGAAGGAAUUUGGGGAUUAAUCAGAAAAUCUGUUUGAUUAGAAAGUAAUUCUUCAUUUUGAGAGAUUUUCCAAUGCUCUUAAGAGCAUGCAGCUUCUUAGUCAAGACCAGGGGGAGAAAACCGGUUUAGGAUUUUGCAGAGUUACCUCAUCUAAUCCUUCUGAAUUCACUCUGGAAAUAAUGCUGUUUUAUUUAGAGGAAAAAAGAAAAAGAAAAUACAUUUAGCAAAAUCGGGGGUUUCCUCUCUCUGAGCCAAAUCUGGAUUGCCAUUCAAACUUUUCCUGGCUGCUUUUCCAUGCGGGACAGCUGAUCAAUAAAGCCAAGUCCAGCCUGGCUUGCUACAGGUUUCACCAGUCAGUGCUUGCAAAACCUUUGUCAUUUUCUAAAAAUAAAAAAGCUAAAAGUUAUUGUAGAAGAAGGGGCUUUUUUUGUCCCCUGCACAAUGUGUCUUUUGUGAGGUUAAUGCCAUUCUAGGCUCUCGAUAGCCCUGGACAAUGGGAACCCUCCAGGAGCUUGCAAAGACUCUGGCUUUUUUCUUUCUUGCCUUUUUUUUUUUUUUUUUUUUUUUUUUAAGGAAAGGAUGAAACAUUCCUACAGUCCAAAUACAACCUCUACUUUGAUUAAAUAAAUAUUUAUCUUUAUUGUAGGCAUUGUAUAUUUUUACCUUCAGGUUGUCCGGUUUCUGAUUAUUAUUUUAAAUUUUUAUUGGCAACAAUUAAUCUUUUUUUUUUUUUCCCUUUCAGUCCAAAGUGCAGGUCAGUGUAAAAUGUAGCUGGCUGAAAGAAGACUGGUAAAUUCUGAAUUUUUCCAUAAUACAGCAGUGCCUCUCCUCUAAGCCAGUAAUGGGAUUUAAAAUGAGAGAUUCCCAGUCCUCGUCCUCUCUCUCAUUGCAUUUCACUCUCUUCGCCCCAGAAAACCUCUGCGUAAGGGACUGCACGUCUAAGGGGACGGUUUAAUGGGAAACAAGGUUUGGGAGCGCAUCAACUUUCUCUUUUUCAAAUGAAGUUGAAAAAAAAUUCUAAGGACAAUUUCAACAUCAAAUGACAUCGAACAGAUACUUUUCCAACACAAAAUUUUUCCGAUUCGUUUGUUUCCCGUUCUUAGAAAUAGAAAAAAGGCAAAACCAA